rnacentral:rRNA from 1 species
UACGUAGGGUGCGAGCGUUAAUCGGAAUUACUGGGCGUAAAGCGUGCGUAGGUGGUUUGUUAAGUCUGUUGUGAAAGCCCCGGGCUCAACCUGGGAAUGGCAAUGGAUACUGGCAGGCUAGAGUGCGGUAGAGGGUAGUGGAAUUCCUGGUGUAGCGGUGAAAUGCGCAGAUAUCAGGAGGAACACCGGUGGCGAAGGCGGCUCACUGGCUCAUUACUGACGCUCAGGCGCGAUAGCGUGGGGAUCAAACAGG